CAGACAGCAAGGUGGGAUUACUUGUGUGAGAGCUUUAUCGGGAGAGAUGCCUGGGAGAGAGCUUUAUCGGGAGAGAGACCAUGGCGGGAGGGAUUCGGUGGAGGCUGAGAAGGCCGGCUAGGCGUGAUUCAGGUCGGAUCCUCACAGAAAAGGGCCAUGGGGAUGAAGAAAGUUCUCUGGAGGAAGGGUCAGAUGGCAGCACGGUUCUGGGGAAGUUUGACAAAGCAUUGGAGAGUUCCUGAGCCAAGUUACCAGAGGGGUCCCCUGUGUGCAAGCGUGGGCUGAGCAGCUUGCAGGGAGCCUGGCCUGGCAAGAAGGACGUGGCGGACUUCAGAGCAUGCCAUCUGGGGCUUCAGAUCAGUGACGUGCCCGCAGGUGAAGCUCUGAGGUUACAGCGCAUGGAUGUGUUUGCUCACACUGUUUGGGGCGGCUCAGAGGGAGGUGGUGAGUGGGGUGAGCCCCUGUCACCCUGGCCCUCCAGUCUGAAUUUUUGAGGACCACUCUGGCUGAUGGUGUCUUGCCUGCGGUGUGGCCCAAACCUUCGUUCCUGGUCAGGGAUCUGAAUCUCUGCGGUCCUGCCCUCGUAGGCCAGGGUUGCUGCCUUCUGAGGGGAUGGCUGGAUCCCUGGGUCCCCCACGUAUUUCUUCCUGUUGGGGUGCCCUCCCAUGCCUGCCCGUGUGGCGGCCCCUCACCUGUGGUCGCCACGCACGAGGGGCCUACGCUGCCUGCGUCAGCCAUCCCUGGGGCCUCGGGAGCCUUGCUGUCUGGGACUCCUGGCCCUGGAGUGGCCGAUGCCCCUGUGGGCAUGACGCCCGCAAAGCGAGGCCUCAGGGGCACAGACUUGCCCAGCGCAGGGCCCUGGAGGGUGUUUCUGCUGCUGGUUAAUCUGGGGAGGAGGUGGCCCGUCCUGGCCAGAGCUGGCUGGCAGGCACUGAAGCCUUGGAGCACGGCCCCAGACCGCAGGGUCGGCCCGUGGAACUACGACCUGCAUGGGGGCCCAGCAGGGACAUGGGGGACCGGUCCGGCCACACCCUGGCCACCUGCGUGUUGCGGGGCUCCGGGUGGGAGGCAGGGAGGUGAAAAUUACACAAUCUCCCCGCUCUGAAAAUAUACCUCUCCUUUCCAGAAAAUUGAGUCAAAUGGUAUGGAAAUGUGGCUGAGUGAUUAUGGAUAUUGUUCUGUGGACGUGUCGCCAGGUGUCUCUUCAAGAGGAGAAAUAAAUUUGUAUAUCUCUGCCUUUAUUCUGGGUUUAAGGUUUUAAUAAAAAUGCAGCGAGGGAAUCCUGCAGAGCAGCUUGCCGGGAGCGGAGGUUCCCGUUGCUGGCAAGAGCCUCAGGCUGCCUUCCCUCACACAAAUCCACCACUUCUACGCUGUCACCCCCGUGGGACACCUGGGAGCCCAGGGCCUCACUGUCCAUCCCGGGAUGCAGGCCCGGCCUCGUCCAUCAGGCUGCCCCUGCUCGCCCUUCUGGUCCACGGCCUGGGGCCCGUGCCCUUGUGUCAUCAGAGGGGUCUGCGGGUUCCCCGCUCCCGGGGACGUUGCUGGGAGCUGAGGCUGGGGGUGGCCUGUCUCAGCCUCCGCCCUGGCCUGGGGAGGUCCUGCGGUGUGGAAGGCCUCCCAUCCGCCCUUCUGGAGAGGCGAGUUCCCUCCGUCAGGUACCAGGAUGGGAAGGGUGGAGCUGGGGAGAGGGGGCCGAGCCUCCUGGGGCCGAGGCUGCAGGCCUGGGGUAGGGGCUCCAUGAGUCAGGCCCCCGGGCCCGUGAGCGCUGAGCCACCGUCUCCUGCCGAAUCCAGAGCUGCUGCGCACGAGGCUUCGGGGAAGAUUCCAGAAGGGCUUGUACUGCUCCGGCCAUGGGGGACCCUGGUGACCCAGCCUGCCACAGGCAAAUUCUGGGGGUGCCCUGAAGAGGCUCAGUGGUCUUCAGGGUGGGGUGCCCGGCCUGGCACAUCCGUCAGGCAGUCCGCGGAGGGGGUGAAGAACGUGUUAACAAGAAAGACAAGUGCAGGUACUUCGCAUCGAGUCUUCGUGCUUAGAAUACAGGUGGACUCCGGGGUGUGGGAGGUGUCCUUUACUGCGCUGGGGUGACCCCACGCGUCUCUGGUUUUGAGGGAUGUUUUUGCAGAGACAGAAAUGUGGGCUGGUGCUGUUCCACCUGCGGCCGUGAGCUCAGAUGAUGGCAGGGGUCUCCGCCUUGAUUCCCUUGUCGCACUGUCCUUUUUUCUUUCUCAUGCGGCUCUUUUCAGGAUUUACCACCCAUCCUGGUUUCCAGCAGUUUGCCGUGUGCCUUGGAGGGUUUUCUUUGUAUUCUCCCGUUGAGUUUGCCAAGCUUCUUGGAUUUCUGGUUCUCUGCUUUUUUUGCAAUAUCCUUGCCUGUUAUUUCUUCAGGCAUUUUUAUGCCUCAGAUUCUGUCUCCUCUGGGGCUGCAGGUUCACAUGUGCCGGCCGAGAAUGUUGCCCUCAGGUGGCACUUCCCCCAACGCACCGUCCUUGUGCUUCAGUUUGGGUAGUUUCUGCCUGUGCCCCCAAGUUCUGAGAUUGCCUGCCGUGCUGCUGCCAGCCCGCAGACAGACGGCAGACAGGUGGCAGACAGACGGCAGACGGGCGAUGUCUUCUCCGACACCACGUGUUCCGCGUCGCAAUUCUGUCUGGCUCUCUUCACAGACAUUGGCCUCCUUGUUUUCUAGGUUCCAAACACACUUGUUACGGUUUUUUUAAAGUUUUGCUCUGAGAUUCCAAUAUCUGAGUCAUUUCUCCAGGUUUGGUUCUAUUGACUCUUAGUUUCUUUAAUCUUUAUUUUUUAAAGCAAGCUCUGUGUAUAACGUGGGGCUCAAACUCAUGACCCCCGUGGUCAAGAGUCGUGUUUGCCACCGAGUAGGCCGGCCGGGCGCCCCUCCCAACUAGUUCAUGUUGGCGGAGCACGUUUUCUUGUUUUUUGAUGUAUCUUGUUUUUGUUUUUAUUGACUGCCCGAGUCAGCUUGUGUAUGAGAACAGCAGAGACGAGAGAACUGAAACCACGGAGGUGCGAAUUAACAAGAUGGGGAGCCCUGUCGCAGUGUAGAUGUGCACCCUACCAGCGCGAUGUGCACUUCAGAGAUAUUCCAGUGUUAGUGACGCUGCAGCAAAGCUGGGAAAAUAGAAGGAGCAGCAGACCCCAGCGGAAGCAGGGACACAGGGAGUGAUCCUGAAGCACCUGCUGCACCCGGAGCCUGGCGGUCACCUCAAGUAAAGAGAUGCCACCGCUCUUAGCGAUGAAGACGUACCGAAUCUGUGCGUGGUCUCUGUGCAAGACGGGGCCACUGAGCAAACAUUUUCAUAGUGAAACACUCAGCCCCUGCGAGGAAAAACCUGGCUAAUGAUGUUUUGACAACGAUUCAGGAAGGAGCUACUUUUCAGAAGAAAUGUGUCUGUGGAGAAGACGCUUGGAAAAUGUUCAGCAAUGUUAUGUUAUUGUUAUGGGGGUUUGUUGCCAAGAAUAAUGUGUGUCACUUUUGUUUAAGUUUAACUUAACACUUAAAAAACUUGGAAAUAGUUUUUAAACUUGUUCUAAAAUAUCACAAACAAAGGGUUUUCGUAGAUUGGACUUAUUCAUAAAAAUCAUUAAAAUUCAACACUUUCUAAUUAGCCUGGAGAACACCUGACUGUUAUUAUGGAGUAUAGAAAUUUGCUGCCCAAAUUUUAACAAAAUGAGGCCAAAUUGGUCGAUGGGAUUGUGUCACGUGCCAUGCAACUUGGCGGUCCAGCCAGUGACACACGAUGGAGCUGCCCUGUGUCCUGUGAGGAAUCUUCUCAGACGUGAUAGAAAUUAAAACCAAGAGUCAAAAUUAUCUGAAUGUCGGUGUCUCUUCAAAUGGUUGCAUCGCAAGUGGUAAACGCGAUUUCGUAAAUAAGGAAGCGUUUUCAAGCUGGGACUCCCUAAAGUCACUAUUUUUACCGUAUUUUAGUACAGUGAAGACCUGGUACAUUUAAAAUUGUUUUAAAAUAUUUCAUUUCAUCCUUAUACGGUCCUUCUAAAAUGUCUCCUUGUGUUGAUAAUAUGCAUAACAGUAGUUGUUUAUACGAUUUGUAAAUAAAUGCUCAUGCUUGUUGGGAUUCA